GACAGAGGGUGCAAACGUUGCUCGGAAUUACUGGGCGUAAAGCGCGUGUAGGCGGGCCGAUAAGUCGGAUGUGAAAUCCCUGAGCUCAACUCAGGAACUGCAUUCGAAACUGUCGGUCUUGAGUAGUGGAGAGGAAAGCAGAAUUCCUGGUGUAGAGGUGAAAUUCGUAGAUAUCAGGAGGAACACCGGUGGCGAAGGCGGCUUUCUGGACACUUACUGACGCUGAGACGCGAAAGCGUGGGGAGCAAACAGG
rnacentral:rRNA from 1 species